rnacentral:rRNA from 1 species
AGAGUUUGAUCAUGGCUCAGAACGAACGCUGGCGGCAUGCCUAACACAUGCAAGUCGAACGCCUCUAGCGAUAGAGGAGUGGCGCACGGGUGAGUAACGCGUGGGAACCUGCCCCGAGGUGGGGGAUAACCGAUGGAAACGUCGGCUAAUACCGCAUACGACCUGAGGGUGAAAGAUUUAUCGCCUUGGGAGGGGCCCGCGUCGGAUUAGCUAGUUGGUGGGGUAACGGCCUACCAAGGCGAUGAUCCGUAGCUGGUCUGAGAGGAUGAUCAGCCACACUGGGACUGAGACACGGCCCAGACUCCUACGGGAGGCAGCAGUGGGGAAUAUUGGACAAUGGGCGCAAGCCUGAUCCAGCAAUGCCGCGUGAGUGAUGAAGGCCUUAGGGUUGUAAAGCUCUUUCGGCGGGGACGAUGAUGACGGUACCCGCAGAAGAAGCCCCGGCUAACUUCGUGCCAGCAGCCGCGGUAAUACGAAGGGGGCAAGCGUUGUUCGGAAUUACUGGGCGUAAAGGGCGCGCAGGCGGCUCAUUAAGUCAGGUGUGAAAGCCCCGGGCUCAACCUGGGAAUAGCAUUUGGGACUGAUGGGCUAGAGAUCGGGAGAGGAGAGUGGAAUUCCCAGUGUAGAGGUGAAAUUCGUAGAUAUUGGGAAGAACACCGGUGGCGAAGGCGGCUCUCUGGACCGAUACUGACGCUGAGGCGCGAAAGCGUGGGGAGCAAACAGGAUUAGAUACCCUAGUAGUCC